AUUCCAGCUCCAAUAGCGUAUAUUAAAGUUGUUGCAGUUAAAAAGCUCGUAGUUGGAUUUCUGGUUAGAUGCGCCUGGCCCGCCGACGUUCAGUCGUGUGAAGUGCUGGUGCGCAACUGCCAUCCUUCUAGAGAAGGGACCAACGGUUCAUUCCGGUUCGGUUCACAAUCUAGAUCUUUUACUUUGAAAAAAUUAGAGUGUUUAAAGCAGGCUUUUGCUAUGAAUACAUUAGCAUGGAAUAAUAAUUUAGGACUCUGUUUCCAUUUUGUUGGUUUCCGGAAACGGAGUAAUGAUUGAUAGGGAUUGUUGGGGGUGCUAGUAUUCAGCGGCCAGAGGUGAAAUUCUCGGAUUCGCUGAAGACUAACUUAUGCGAAAGCAUUCACCAAGGAAGUCUUCAUUG
rnacentral:rRNA from 1 species